UACGAACUGUGCGAACGUUAUUCGGAAUCACUGGGCUUAAAGGGUGCGUAGGCGGCUGCCUAAGUCAGGUGUGAAAUCUCUCGGCUCAACCGGGAAACUGCGCUUGAUACUGGGCGGCUUGAGUGAGGUAGGGGUGUGUGGAACUGCGAGUGUAGAGGUGAAAUUCGUAGAUAUUCGCAAGAACACCAGUGGCGAAGGCGGCUCACUGGCCCGAUACUGACGCUGAGGCACGAAAGCGUGGGGAGCAAACAGG
rnacentral:rRNA from 1 species